AUGUCAAAUGCUUCUUUUCUCCAACUAGCUUUCUGCUUGUUUAUGGUUUCCAUUUUCAUCUUUUCGACCACCACAGACGGCACAACAGACAAGCACCAUCUAAUGUGGGAGGCGACAACGAUAACACCAACAUGCCAAGGCUCCAUAGAAGAGUGCAUAGAAGAAAAUGAGUUUGGAAUGGGUUUUGAGUCUCACCGGCGUAUCCUAGCAACAACAAAGUAUAUAAGCUACAGAGCACUGCAGAGGAACACUGUGCCAUGCUCUCAUAAGGGUGCAUCCUAUUACAACUGCAAGCCGGGUGCAGAAGCCAAUCCUUACACCCGCGGCUGUGCCACCAUCACCCGUUGCCGUAAUAGCUCUUAG